rnacentral:ncRNA from 1 species
ACCACCCUUUUCUUGGGGUUGUGCUACUGUACAAUGAGCUCAUAACGAGGGAAGCACUGCUAACACCUACAUACGUGCCUGCAUCAACUAGAGCUUGUCUUACCUUGGUGCAAUUUUUAGAAAA